CAGGCUUAACACAUGCAAGUCGAGGGGCAGCAUGGUCUUAGCUUGCUAAGGCCGAUGGCGACCGGCGCACGGGUGAGUAACACGUAUCCAACCUGCCGUCUACUCUUGGACAGCCUUCUGAAAGGAAGAUUAAUACAAGAUGGCAUCAUGAGUCCGCAUGUUCACAUGAUUAAAGGUAUUCCGGUAGACGAUGGGGAUGCGUUCCAUUAGAUAGUAGGCGGGGUAACGGCCCACCUAGUCUUCGAUGGAUAGGGGUUCUGAGAGGAAGGUCCCCCACAUUGGAACUGAGACACGGUCCAAACUCCUACGGGAGGCAGCAGUGAGGAAUAUUGGUCAAUGGGCGAGAGCCUGAACCAGCCAAGUAACGUGAAGGAUGACUGCCCUAUGGGUUGUAAACUUCUUUUAUAAAGGAAUAAAGUCGGGUAUGCAUACCCGUUUGCAUGUACUUUAUGAAUAAGGAUCGGCUAACUCCGUGCCAGCAGCCGCGGUAAUACGGAGGAUCCGAGCGUUAUCCGGAUUUAUUGGGUUUAAAGGGAGCGUAGAUGGAUGUUUAAGUCAGUUGUGAAAGUUUGCGGCUCAACCGUAAAAUUGCAGUUGAUACUGGAUAUCUUGAGUGCAGUUGAGGCAGGCGGAAUUCGUGGUGUAGCGGUGAAAUGCUUAGAUAUCACGAAGAACUCCGAUUGCGAAGGCAGCCUGCUAAGCUGCAACUGACAUUGAGGCUCGAAAGUGUGGGUAUCAAACAGGAUUAGAUACCCUGGUAGUCCACACGGUAAACGAUGAAUACUCGCUGUUUGCGAUAUACAGCAAGCGGCCAAGCGAAAGCGUUAAGUAUUCCACCUGGGGAGUACGCCGGCAACGGUGAAACUCAAAGGAAUUGACGGGGGCCCGCACAAGCGGAGGAACAUGUGGUUUAAUUCGAUGAUACGCGAGGAACCUUACCCGGGCUUAAAUUGCAGAUGAAUUACGGUGAAAGCCGUAAGCCGCAAGGCAUCUGUGAAGGUGUUGCAUGGUUGUCGUCAGCUCGUGCCGUGAGGUGUCGGCUUAAGUGCCAUAACGAGCGCAACCCUUGUUGUCAGUUACUAACAGGUUCCGCUGAGGACUCUGACAAGACUGCCAUCGUAAGAUGUGAGGAAGGUGGGGAUGACGUCAAAUCAGCACGGCCCUUACGUCCGGGGCUACACACGUGUUACAAUGGGGGGUACAGAGGGCCGCUACCACGCGAGUGGAUGCCAAUCCCAAAAACCUCUCUCAGUUCGGACUGGAGUCUGCAACCCGACUCCACGAAGCUGGAUUCGCUAGUAAUCGCGCAUCAGCCACGGCGCGGUGAAUACGUUCCCGGGCCUUGUACACACCGCCCGUCAAGCCAUGGGAGCCGGGGGUACCUGAAGUGCGUAACCGCGAGGAGCGCCCUAGGGUAAAACUGGUGACUGGGGCUAAGUCAUAACAA
rnacentral:rRNA from 1 species